UCAAAUAUUAUAUUCCCUCCAAUAUUUUUAACACUCCCUCCCAUUUUUAUUGGCCAAAAAAAAUAAACAUUAAUAAAUGACCAAACAUUAACUUUUUCACUUCACUUUACUCUUUCACUGCACUUUCUUCGUUCAGCUUUCCUCCUUCACAUUUCCAUCCAGAUUUUCGAUGAACCAAAGAGAUGAUGAACCAAGCUGAAGAGAGGUGAAGAUAGCUGAAGAACCGAUUCUCCUUUCUGAUACACGCUGAAGAGUUGAGUUGAAGAGUUGCAGUCAUCAAAGAACUCAUAUCUCAAGUCGUCUUCUCCAAAUAACAAUUUUUUGAAGAGCAAGAAUGAAUAUUUUUGGGUUGUUGGCAAGAUGAUGAAUUGAAGCUAAUUAGUCUCUCUGUCACACUUUUCUCUCAAGUUUCUCACUGAAGAACACAAUUUCAAACAGAUUUUGUUGGAGUAGGUUUUAUCAGUUUUCCCAAUCUAUGUUCGAGUUCGUGAUUCUGCCCGGAAUUCUCAUCCGUUGUUAGUGUUCAAGUUUGUUGGUGAAGAUCGUUUCCC